UAACUUUCAAACUCUAAUCUUGCUUAAUUACGUCAUACGUGACGUCACGAAACGUAUCACAAGCGGUACAACUGGCAAACACCGUUUUCACGAAGUGGCCUCUUACGCGCAAAUGUAGUCUGCUAUUGAUAAUCGUACACGAACCGGCUCCGCGAAGCCUUUGUCACAGAUGCCGGUGCUUCUGGCGGAAUUGUUAGAGGAAUCUGACAGCCCUAGUUUACCAGUAGAAUAGACAGCUGGGAUACGCAAGAGAUGAGGGACCACUAGCACCCCAGUGGUUGAUGUCCAUGUAGGAGUUUGUGCAGCUGAUGUGGAGAGCUUUUAGCGAAUUGACAAGCAUCUUCACCCUCUGCCCUUGAACUGAUCGCUUUUCCAAUACCACGGUUUGGAGGUCAGACCAAACGACUGACAGACCGACCGACUGAAUAGCUAAGUCCCCUCAGUCAUCAAAGGAUGGACAAAAAUACAGAAGUUAUUGUUAGGUGGGAUCGUGAUGGAGAGAUCAAUUGUGGCAAGAAACGAGAUCUUCGAUAUAACGGAAGGCAUAGGGUGGAUUCAAGAGUUACUAUGAGCUAGAUGGAUUUGGACUAAACGGGGACUGCAACGCUGACAGGAGACUCUGACUCCGAAUGUGCCUCCAUUUAGAGGUUUUGUGGUCUAGUGGAUAAGUCGUUGGACUGUGGAUCACAGGAUCCAUGGUUCAAGUCCCGCCACAGCAGUAAUGUCUUUUGGCAAGAUAUUAAUCUACAU